rnacentral:rRNA from 1 species
AGGACGAACGCUGGCGGCGUGCUUAACACAUGCAAGUCGAGCGAGACUUCGGUCUAGCGGCGAACGGGUGAGUAACACGUGGGCAACCUGCCCCGAGCUCUGGGAUAACCCCGGGAAACCGGGGCUAAUACCGGAUAUGACCAGAGGAGACAUCUACUCUGGUGGAAAGUUUUUCGGCUCGGGAUGGGCCCGCGGCCUAUCAGCUAGUUGGUGGGGUAAUGGCCUACCAAGGCGACGACGGGUAGCCGGCCUGAGAGGGCGACCGGCCACACUGGGACUGAGACACGGCCCAGACUCCUACGGGAGGCAGCAGUGGGGAAUAUUGCGCAAUGGGCGAAAGCCUGACGCAGCGACGCCGCGUGAGGGAUGAAGGCCUUCGGGUUGUAAACCUCUUUCAGCAGGGACGAAGCGAAAGUGACGGUACCUGCAGAAGAAGCACCGGCCAACUACGUGCCAGCAGCCGC